ACUGUACAUAUACACGUGGACGCGCAUGCGCAGAGAGCCGCGACGUCGAUGGAUUUGCUGUUACCUGCAGGGAGCAGGCUGCAUGCAGGAUACAUGCGCGAUGACAUCGCUCGUGUGUGCCUGUUGGUUGGCUGCUUUUCCCUCUUUUCUCCACUCGCCAACCUACCGCCGUGGCAUAUAACCGGUUCCGCGCCGCGUGCAAACUCCUUCCUAUCCUCUCAACCUUCUCUCCAUUCCUUCCUUUUUCAUGCAGACCCAUCGUCUCUCUUCCGAACCGUUCCGACCUCCCCCACUUCUUUUCUCUCCCUUUUUUCCUCGUGUUAUAUCAUUCUCGCUCUCUCGUUGCGUGUAUACCGUGCGCAAACGAUGGAACAGAGCAACGAGUUCGCAAGAACUGUCCGCCAUUCCAGCCAUCCCUGCCGUUCUGCAUGUUUUCCUCUCGUUCUAUUUCGUCACCGAUGUACAGCUCGCGUGUGUACGCGCCUUCGACGUUGGAAUGCCGCUUCGUGGUCAUAUCUAGUGGGACGUGCUCUUCAUUCCGUAGCCUGUCCUUAUCGCGCUAACGUGAUUUGUCCAAACGUGCAUACAGCGCUCUACUACAUACUACGCUACCACUCGUCGCCUCGGUCAAUAUCACAUCGUGUACUCCUCCGGCUAGCUGACGCGCACUGCGCAUCGAUAUCACGCGGUUUGGCCCUUCGUUUUAGGAUAAACUUACACGAGAGCGGUCACGCGCACCUGUUAUAUGUAUACGUCUCGAGCUUACGUUUCAUUUCGUUGGCAUCAUUUUUGAUGGCUAUUAUUCAUUCUACUAAAUAGGUAACCUGCUAGGAACGUUUAGCUUUCUAAACAAUGUUCGCGAAGAAGGCGACGGGGCAAUGCCACGAAGAAGGAGACGACGCAUAUUGCACCGGACGGUUAAUGGCGUGAUGGCGUGACAUCGGUGCACACGCACACCGAGGUGGGGCGAACGGGACGAAACGAAGCGAAAUGAAACGGCCGGAACGCGAUGUCGCGUGGCUUGCAGUCGCGUGUGUCGCAAGUAUUACACACGAUCUCUUGACUAAAUGCUUUAGCGCACGAACACACGUUCGUAUCGUUGUUUCGUUUCUUCCCUUCUAAUUCCCGAUCCUUUAACCCUUCUUACGUGCUCUACGUAACUAUUACUUUAUGCUAGGCGAGAUUACUCGUUUAAGGCGCACGAGAAUGGCUUAUCAAUUUCCUCCUGACAGAGAAAAAAAACUCUACGACUAAUGCGAUUUCUUCUCCUCCGGUUGCUGUAAUAAUACCGUGUCGUACAUGAAAUCGGACGCGCAGAAAAAUCAAUGUACAUUUCUAAUUUCAAAAGUUAUAUUCUGAGGAUUUUGUGUUUAAAAUCGGUAUCAAAUUAAAAGGACGGUGAUGCUACUACGCUUUUACCAUUCGCUAAGUUUAUUCGUCGCAUCGCCGAAUACGGUGUCUGUUCGGUCUAAAAACAACAUACACGAUUGCUUCCGCGAACAACUUUCAUGAUUGUUUUAAUGGCCGCGUAUAGCGGAACAGCUGUAAAAAUGAUCCACGAGUUUGAUACUCGGUUUUCUUAUUUGCCCGGUGAAACCCGACCGAUGCGACGUGCAAAAUUUAAAGUCAAAUGUGUCCGAUUAUCCGUCGUUCGAUCUCCAUCAGAUAGCUUAAGGAAGAGGAAAAGAAAAAAGAGAAAACGUUAGUUCGGUUUGCACCCUCUUCUUUGUUUCGAGGCGAAACGUGCCGUUAAACAGCUCAAAGAAACACCUGACGACGUCAGACGGCCGUCCAGAAGAACGUGUACGUAUGUACGUGCAUACCUGUGGCAGGUGAAUCGAGGAGUCAGGUGCCCGAGCAGAUGGGGUAGUACCUUUACACGAGAAAACGUUAUAAAAGCGGUCUAUCAAAAAUGUAGGUUACGGACUAGAACAAAUGCCAGCCGUUAGAGUAAAUGUGACGCUUUUAACUGAUUUUCGACGAUGUUAAUGGCGUACAGUUACACGAACGCGGGGGCUGUGUCGAUGGAACUUUUUGGCAACACGAUAUAGGAAGAGUUGAAAUCUUGUAACCCGGCUAUCAAAUUCACGAUCCUUCGAGUUUUCAAUUUUUCAGCGUUGACAAGUUUUAGACUUGCAGUACUUUGUUUGCAAUUAUUGAAGAUAGCGACGAUAGCGUAGAAUAUGCGAGGUUAAGGAUUAAAUAAAAAAAAUUUCGAAAACGUCGUUCGACGCAGAACAAUAAGAUAAAACGUCCUUCGAGACGUUCUCGUCAACCGGACGAAUAUAACGAGCGCAUCUUUUUUUCAUGGACACGUAUCGUGAGCUGUACACGUACGCGUCUUCGGUGUAUGCAGUCGCGCGAACUAAAAGACUAUGUCCAGUCACGUGUCAGAGUGGAAUAGCGAAAACGUGAUGCGAUUAUGCAUUCUUCCUACAUCGUUGUUUCUCGGCUCGAUACGACCAGCGGACCCGCGAACAGAUACACAUACUUAUUAGUCUAACGUUUUACGGUAAUUCUAUCAAACGUUUCUUUUUAACAAACGUCACCGGAUUUCACGCGAUUAGUUAUGCAAAUCUUUUCUUAUCACGAGAUCAACGAAUGGGUAAUGAAGCCAUUCGGUCGUCAAACACGAUCAAUGAAACGAGACGCUCGAACUUUUUCAAUGUGUAGAAACUUCGUUGUUUUGUAAAUAUCGAGCAAACGAUUCCAGGUGAGAGGCAGGAUUAGUAACGUAUUUGGCAUCGUGCACCAAAUAACGUAUAACAAAACGUAGCAGAUGGUACUAAUUAUAGAAUUAAGUAUCAUAAAAGACACGAAGCUGAUUUAGGUGGAAAAUAAGAUUGUAGCAGCAAAUACAAUGUGUUACAUCGAACAAGUAGCAAUUACUGUCGAACAGCGGAUAAUUAAAGCCUUUAAUUCGAAAUCGGUAAGAGAGGUCCUGUGAAAUUUUCGACCGAAAAACACGUAACGAUAACGACAGAAACGAACAGCUGCCAGAAUGUUUGAUUAGAUGUCAGAAAAGAAUUGCCCCGAAGCAGAUCUUAUCAUUUCAAAUCACAGCUGUCUCCUGCCGCUGUCAGCCGGUUAACCGGUUGAUGCGUUUUGAAAUACAGAUAUUCGACAAAAAAUCGAUAUACUCGACAAACGGCGUAAAAACGAUUUAUCGUUAUCGAACGAUAUACGCGUCCUUUUAAUCAUCAUACGACUGAUAAAGUCAAAGAUGACAUUUUAUGAAACUUGGGCAAAACAUUUUUUAACAAUAAAGAGAAAAAAUCUUAGAUUCAAAGACAAAAAAUAUCGACGAAGGAAAGUUACGAACAUAAAUUGCGAAAUUUUUAGUGUUCAAUUUUAAUUUCUUUUUUCGGCGAUACGGUAUCUUCGCUUUUUGCUAGCGUUUUAAUUGCUCAAUAUUCAAUGCAACGCGCGUUCUGUAGCAACGGUCAUUCAUAACCUUUAAGUCGAUUAAAAUUUUCGAAAAUCAAGAACGGUAAGGAGAGCAUAAAUAGUAAUACCCCAGUUAUCUUGUACGUUUCGAAACGUUAGGACAAAGAGGGCAGUAUGCAAUAUCGGGAAGCGUUCAGAAACGGGAGCAAACAAUCGAAGGACGUUCGUUAUUCCGGAAACGUUCGCGCGUCGUCGGCAGCCGCUUUCAUCGAACGCGACGGAUCUGUCGCUUAAUCGAUAAGUAUCGGUCAUUUACGAGCCACGUCCAUGGAUAAUUUUAAAACGCGCGUUCGAGAGUGAAGUGGGUCGAGAAGAUACGUGGAAACGGCGAUGUACGGUGAACUGUGGCCAGUUCCAAGGCGAGAUUGAUUUUAAAUAUAACAUAAAACGUCGAUGCGUAAGCGUAUACGCGCGCGCCAUCGUUCGAGUUCGUGCCGGAAAACGUACGAUUGCGCAUGCGCUUACGCUUGCGCGCAGGGCUGUAAUUCGAAUGCGAAUUCGGCAUUAAAAGGUAUCUACGAUUCUUUACAUUUUUUUUAUCAAUCGUCGUUACAUUAUUCGUACGAAACGUUAUCAUAAUUGUCAACAUAAAAAGGGUCGUUAAAAUAUGGCCACAAAUUUUAUCUACGAAUUUAAAAGGCACCAGAAGAAAUCUUCCGCAAGAUGGUAGCUUUCUACCGCUUUGCGUUCGACUCGAGACCGAAAAACAAGAGUGAGUCAGACUAGCAGUGGGAGACUAACUUCUCGCGUCUCCUUGAAACUCGCGAGCUUGGCGUGCUCGUGACUGACUGGCGUCGUAGAAGAAAUGUGGAAAGUGGCGUGUUCGCGCGCGAGCGUGCAACAUGUAAAAGAAACUUCAGUAUCGAUCCAGCGCCUCUUUAGAAAGUCACGUUGGCUUGGCGUGUUGAUACCGAUAAGUUCCUCGUCCCUCGAACCUCUACGACCGUGCGACGUUGUGUCGUAGCCGGCAAGAUAGGCGGUUUAUCGCGUACCGCGAUAAGGAGCCGCGUAGCGUAAGAGUACGAUUGAACGGAACGCGACGAAAAAACCUAAAGAUAUUGUUCGUGCACGGAUUUGUCGCUUUGAUCACGUGACGUAGUCGACCGGUCUUGUCUACACUAGACACGUGCACUUCCUUAGAGAAAAUGUUACUUAAAAAUUUAAGAACGUAGAAAUUCAGUAAUUUAGAAAGGUAUAUGAUUUCCAAAAAUUUUAGUUAAAGGAAGCCUACGUUGCACGCGAUUUACGUGCACGCGGUAAACCGUUUCGAUACUUUCCGUCCGCUUUCGGAUCCGUUCAGUCAUCCAUCGUUGUUCUGCCUGCUGACUCGACCGCGUUACUCGCUUGUAAUUACCUGUUCAUCGUCAAACCGUUACUAAAUAUACGCCACAACGGGCUUAGACUCACUCGAGUAAAACUUCCUUGAUUUCCCUUUUGAAUCGAGCGUUCAACAAUGUACGAGUCACCGAAUCUUCAUUUUUUCAUUCGUUCAUUUGACUUCGCAAUUGGAACAUAUUUUUGCUUAACCUAAUUUAAAAUUUAUGAUUGCAGAAGACACUGAUCGUAAUAAAAAUUUUUAGGUUAAAAAACAGGAAAUGUCCUUUUGUUACAUUUAGUUUAAUUUAUAUUACAACUUGGAGAGUUAAAUAUUAUUUUAAUCUUGCUUUAGUGUCAGUUCUAUAGGUGCAUUUUUGAAAGAAAUAUCUCUGUGGAAAUUGCAUCGAUUCUUCCCAGAUCGAGAAACGCCACGUACGAGUCGCCUGCGAGUUCCGUAAUUGUGGAAUAUUUUGCAAUUCGUAGAUUGGAAGGCGCCUUUCUCGAAAGAGCGUCGACGAUGGCGAUGCUGGUCACGUAAGCCCGUAGUUCCGAGGGUGCCCUGAGCACGCCAUGGAAUACUAGAAUACUAGCGGCGAGAAUGUGCGGCGAAUACCCGCGACGCGAGUAACCGCGAGCGAGCGAGCGAGUGAGCGAAUCGGAUCUAUAGUAUGCCCCUCACGCUUCGACGCGCCUCCGUAUAUAUGUACUUGUAUGUAUCUAUCUACUUAAACGUGCCUAUGUGCUCUACGUAGCCAGCAUAAUUUCAGGUUUUCCCGCGCCGGAAGUUGAGAAAAAAUAUUAUGGGACCCUCGUGCAGUCGUGAUAAGCAAUUUCGCAAUUUUUCGCGGUUAUUCGCGUCGCAUUGUUAACAAUGACGGACGAAAGGGCUGCCACUUAUAGCUGUGCAAAAUAUACCUCGCACAUGAACGGCAUUUUGAUCGACUAUAAAUAUAUUAAAUAUUAUACUUUACACUAAUUUUGUCUUCUCGUGUUCAAAUAGAGCCUACUAAAAAAAUCUAAUACGCGUAGCGAUUGACAGAUUACAUUUAAAAACUAUACAUCGUAAAAUAGCUCGUUCCUAUCUGGCAAUUAUAGAGUGAAGGAUAGUGACAUAACAAAUCACGCGUCACGAAUACGUAAAGGUUAAUCGUUAAAGUAUUAAUCGAAUAUAUUACUGUUCGGCUUACUCAAUGUAUACUGCAAAGAAUUUUGAUUUUCAACCGAACGGACCAUUACCUCGCCCACGUCUUAAACGGUCGCCUGAAGUCUGGUGAUCGGGUAAAACCGGUUUGAGUGCGACAGUGCCGUAACUACCUAGCGAUGUACUUCGGGAUUAGCAAAUACUCGUCAAAUUGUAACUUGUUUGUUCACCGAUUUACUUGUAUAAUGCAAGAGAAAAACUAUGUACAAUGAGUAUUACAUUAAAGUAUCGAUAGCAGCACCUUA